GCCUGGGCCUACCCCUGAUCCUGAAGAGGCCUGGGCCCUAACAAGAAGAGAUAUGGGCCUGGGCCUACCCCAGACCCUUAAGAGGCCUAGGCCCAAACAAUAAAUGAGGGCCUGGGCCUAACCCUGAUCCAGAAGAGGCCUGGGCCCAACAAGAAGAUAUGUGAGCCUGGGCCUACCCCUGACCCUGAAGAGGCCUGGGCCCAACAAGAAGAGAUUUGGGCCUGGGCCUACCCCUGUCACUGAAGAGGCCUGGGCCC